UACGGAGGGUGCGAGCGUUGUCCGGAAUUAUUGGGCGUAAAGAGCUCGUAGGCGGUUUGUCGCGUCGAAUGUGAAAACCCGGGGCUCAACCCCGGGCCUGCAUUCGAUACGGGCAGACUAGAGUUCGGUAGGGGAGUCUGGAAUUCCUGGUGUAGCGGUGAAAUGCGCAGAUAUCAGGAGGAACACCGGUGGCGAAGGCGGGACUCUGGGCCGAUACUGACGCUGAGGAGCGAAAGCGUGGGGAGCAAACAGG
rnacentral:rRNA from 1 species